rnacentral:rRNA from 1 species
UACAGAGGUCCCAAGCGUUGUUCGGAUUCACUGGGCGUAAAGGGUGCGUAGGUGGUGAGGUAAGUCGGAUGUGAAAUCUCCAGGCUCAACCUGGAAAUGGCAUUGGAAACUACCUUGCUAGAGGGUUUGAGGGGGACUGGAAUACUUGGUGUAGCAGUGAAAUGCGUAGAUAUCAAGUGGAACACCAGUGGCGAAGGCGAGUCCCUGGAAAUACCUGACACUGAGGCACGAAAGCUAGGGGAGCAAACAGG